rnacentral:rRNA from 1 species
UACAGAGGGGGCAAGCGUUGUUCGGAAUUACUGGGCGUAAAGGGCGCGUAGGCGGCCUGUUAAGUCGGACGUGAAAUCCCUCGGCUCAACCGGGGAACUGCGUCCGAUACUGGCGGGCUUGAAUUCGGGAGAGGGAUGUGGAAUUCCAGGUGUAGCGGUGAAAUGCGUAGAUAUCUGGAGGAAUACCGGUGGCGAAGGCGGCAUCCUGGACCGGCAUUGACGCUGAUGAGCGAAAGCUAGGGGAGCAAACGGG